ensembl:lncRNA
GACCUUUUAAAAAGGCUCUACCCGUGUAUACUCCUUUUAGAGUAGCUGAAGGAAGUCAUGGAAGCUAGCGAGCCCUUCAAAUUUUUCCCUGUCUGGUUUAAUCCAUGCGCAUGUUUUGCUCCCUAAAAUAGUGAUCCUGACAAUAAUCCUACAGGCAUGGAGCGAUCUGCUUUUUACAGGGCCCUCGCUCCUGCCUUCUAACGCUGCUGGUUUUGUCCCCAUUUUAUAGAUGAUGAGGAACCGAAGCUCAGAGGAGUUGGGGGUCUCGUCCAGAGCCCCGGAGAGUCAGAACCAGAACUAGAACUCAGGCCCCCAGAAUCCAAAAGCUCUUUCUACUACUCUGUUGCUAGGCAACCCUUCUCCCUUUCGAUUCUUGUGCCAAUGCUACUUGUUGCCAUGGUACUGCUGGGACAAGGAGCAGUACAUUGUAAUUAAGCAGCGAGCUAGAAUCUUGGCUCCUUGCAGAAAGGGGUCUUUAUGCCCCAAGUAUGGGUGGCCGGAGAGGGGCAAUUGGAUGGGACUGGUCAGUUAUCAUGUAAGUUUUGUGGGGGGCAGAUGUCUGUCUUCACCUCUAUCCACUUGAAGCCACACGUGCCCAGGGAUGCCUGGGCAGGAGUGCCGUGUUGUCACGAAUCAGCGUCUAAGUUCAGUGUGUGCUUCAGUCUAGGAGGACUAGGGGUGUCCCUGGUCAGCAGCACCAUGCUGGCAUCGGACCUGAGUUCAAAUCCUCCCAUGAGGAAUCGCUUUCGAAUUCUGUUGAGUCUGGAUGGAUUCAAGGGCAUGAAGUUCAGCACAAUCAUCCUCGUAUUUCACUUUGGCUGGAUGGACGCUCAGUUCUUGUCUCCUUCCUGGAGCUCCUAGUCCAGAAUAAGAUAAACUGAGGAACUGCCCUUCUCCUGCCCCCUCACUAUGUACAGAAUGCAUCUUCCUGCUAAAUAACCUAUUAUGAAUGUUUUCCUGAAUGUAUUAGUGAAUAGUGUUAGUGAACAUUGUCUCAUGCUUUGGAAGGCCCCCUGUCAGGCAAACGUAUGGAGGGAAGGCGCAAAAAAAACCCAAAGUCCUGUUGCACAAACUAGAAGGAGUUUGGUGAAAUUCCACAGUGGCUCUCCUGCUGCUGGCUGUAGGAUUGUGGGCCAAUUGUGAAAGUGUCCAUUUUCCCAAAUGGGUCUAACGGUAGUGCCGAUCUUAAGCUUGUUUCCAAAAUUAAUGAGAUAAAACACGUGUGAAAUACUUAGCCCUUUUCCUUGUAUAAGUCAGCUCUCAGGAAUAUGAGCAAUCAUGGUAUUGCUUCCCUUUUAUGGACAAAGCGUCUGAGCACUUUUUUUUAUUUUAUUUUAUUUAUUUAUUCAUGAAAGACACAGGGAAAAAGGCAGAGACAUAGGCAGAGGGAGAAGCAGGCCUCCCGCAAGGAGCCCAAUGCGGGACCCAGUCCCAGACCAGGGAUCAUGCCCUGAGCCAAAGGCAGACGCUCAACUGCUGAGCCACCCAGGUGUCCCUCAUUUUUUUUCUUUUUAAGAUUUUAUGUAUUUAUUCAUGUAUUAGAACAGAGGCAGAGACACAGGCGGAGGGAGAAGCCUGAUGUGGGACUCAAUCCCGGGACUCCAGUAUCCCUACCUGAGCCAAAAGGCAGAUAGAUGCUCAACCACUGAGCCACCCAGGUGCCCCACGUCUGAACAUUUCUAAGAAGGGAAUCAAACACGAGCACGAUCUGGGGCAGUGGCCACCAUCACCGAGCACAAUCCGGGCUCUGCACUCACUAACCAGAUACACACACACCCCGACCCCACCCCACCCCACCCCAUCUCUGAUUUUAGAAAAGUGCAGAUUCCAGUAAAUAACCACUUGUUCAUACAAAGCCAGGAGUGGCGUCAUUGUGGGUGGCAUUUCUCAACUGUCUGAGAGAUCAUGGGUCAGACCAAACCUUGCUUUUCCACUCUUUUCUGCAUGGGAAGACCCAUCAGCGGUGGAAAUUUUUUUUUUUAAAGAUUUUAUUCAUUUAUUCAUGAGACACGCAGAGAGAGAAGCAGAGACACACGCAGAGGGAGAAGCAGACUCCACGCAGGGAACCCAACGCGGGACCCGAUCCUGUGACUCCAGGAUCAUGCCCUGGGGCCAAAGGCAGGAGCCAAACCACUGAGCCACCCAGGGAUCCCAGCUGUGGAAAUUCUGACGAUAAGUUUAGCCCCGCACUAAUAGGAGGGGAGGGAGAUGGGAGGGCAUACCCUAUUUCCUGUCUGAGAUCUAAGCAAGGAGCUUUUAUUUUAAGGCCCUGAAGGUCAAGAAAGCUUUCUCUGAACCACUCUCUUGGGUUGGAGAGGUUGGAGGCGACCUCUUCCUGUUGUGCCCAAGAUUGCGAAUCUGAGAAACCACCAAGGAGCCAACACCGAUGCAAGUACACGAGGGUUUAUUUACAAGCUCGAGCUUGGGUCCAAGUAUACCCGACACAGCAGAGCAGGAGCUUGGACCCCGAAGUGGGUUACAACUGGGUUUUUUAUGGGCUGGUCUAGGAGAUCUUCAGAAGGGGUGGAGGAAUUUUUUCCCAUUCCAAUAUGGGGGAAAGGUUGGGGGAGUUUCUUAAGAUCUGAUAUGGGAUUCUCUGCCAAGGGCAUUCUGAGCUUUAUUGUCUUUCCGAUAUGGGAUUCCCUGCCAAGGACAAUCUGCAGUUUUUCCUGUAAAGUUCAGCUCUUAUUCCCAGGGACCUAAGAUGGCUGUACUUGUGCUAAUGCUAAACUUGAGGUGGAAUGGCCUUAAUUUUUCUCGGCCUCCACACUUCCUACUGCCAGGACGGCUAUGCUAGAUGGUCUAUUGGCCACUGACCGCCAUUCCCCAUUUUAGCUACUCUACCUUGUUCUGUGAGGGCUGGAAGCCUAGGCUCUAGAAUAUUCCAGAAUCCCUUGCCAGGGUUCUGUGUCAGACUCCACUCACCAGAGGUACUUGCGCAAGAUCUGGAAUGUGGAAGGUAGGUGGAGGCCAUUGUGUUGUUCCCCUGGCAGUAGGAGCAGGCGUGUGGCUUUCGCAGAUGUGAGGCAUUUGGGAGGCCCGGGCGGGCCUCUGGGGACCCCUGACCCAGGGGCUGCAGCCAGCUGGAUCCCUGCUGGCUUCCUCUGCCUGCCGUGAUUUCCUGCUUCUGAGACCCAGAAGGAAGUCUCGGAGCCAGCCAUGGCUUUCCAGACUUUGGUUCCUUCAGCCCCCUUGGGCUGUUCAGCAAGCAUCCAAUUCUCUGGACUGAAUCCCUUUUGCUUCAAAUAUCCAGAAAAGUAUUUCUAGAUCCCUGAGCAGUAGAAAGUGGCUAGCUAGAAAAGUCUUACUGGCUGGACUGAGAACUCAGGACUCUGUAUUUUUCCUGCGUUACCGAGUGCUCGCGGAGGUAGUUGAGACAUAUGUGUGAUCCUCGAGCCUUGUUUCUGCCCCGAUGACCUAAAACUGUGCUUUAUUUCCAGGAAGUAAAACAGAAACCGCAGGUCCCUCCUCCCAAAGAUAGAGCCUCGUGCUUUCUAUCAGUUUGAAACAUGUUUUAAACGUGCACAUGUCGACUAGGAAACGAAUGCUCUGUGAACUACGAUGAUUUCAUAAUCACCUCAUCCAACCCAUUACUAAUAUCAUUUGGGGAAAAAGCUUCAUUUAAUUUUAUGCAUAAAGCUCAUUAUAAAUGCAAGACCAGUUAUAGAAAUGAAAGGAAAAAAAGCACCCCUGUAUUUUAAACAUCCCGACAAAUCAAGUUGUUUUGAUUUUCUUGUUCCUGCUUGUCUUAUCCACAGGCCUACGUAAUUUCGUGUAUUACUAACUAUUGCACUAACUAUUAUGAAAACACAGUUUAUCGUCUGCUUUUUGCACUUAACGGUGAGUUCAUAUAAUUUCCAUUUUGCUCCACCGACGUCCUAAUUGUCAUGUUUAAUUACUUCCUAAUCUUUAGUUGAGUGAAUUGAUCAUAAUUUACUAAUCUUUUCCCCCACGGCUGAAUAUUUAGGCAGGUUCUAAUUAUUUUGUUAGUAUGCUUACUGCUUCAAUGAACAUCUUUUUUGCUUCUGUUGAUUAAUCUCAGGAUAAAUUCCCACGAGUAGAAUUUCUAGGCCAAGAAGCCUAAUUUACACGUCUGGAACGGAUUUCCACUCUCCACUCACCUCAUCGCCCUAGAUUUUAUGCUCGAUUAGUUACCUGGAUGGGCCAGAAGGAAAAUGGGAGGAGUUGGAGAGCCUGGAGUUCUUUUAAUGCCAAGCUGAGACUGGGAAGAGACUCCAGGAUCCGGGAAGACACCCCCGUAACCGCAGUGUCUGAAUUGGUCAGAAGCAGUGACAAAGAGCCCCCAACAUUUUACGUAAUGAAUACAUCUGUCUGUCACUGAGGCAUAGGCAGGGCGAGGGACCUCCAGAGUGAUUUGGGCUCUUCAUCCUACGGCUGCACCUGUAGGGCUGUUGGCGUCAUCUCCUUGCAGCCAGCCAACAGAGCAAGAGAGGAUCACGUAGGGGACGGUUCAGGGGUCCAGCGUGAGAGUGGUCUCCUUUCUGCUCACAUUCCAGUGUGCAAGUCACAAGGCCUCAGUUAACUGCAAGGCAGGCUGGGAAGUGUAGUUUCGGCGUGUGCCCAGGAGGGAGAGGAGAAUGUGGAUACUGGUGCCCAGUCUCUGCCAGAGGUUAUAUUUUUCAAAAUAUAACCAAUCGGGACGCCUGGGUGGCUCAGCGAUUGGGCGUCUGUUUUGGGCUCAGGGCGUGAUCCUGGGGUCCCAGGAUUGAGUCCCACAUCGGGCACCCUGCAUGGGGCCUGCUUCUCCCUGUGUCUCUGAGAGGCCUGUGUCUCUGCCUCUCUUUCUCUGUGUGUCUCUUAUGAAUAAAUAAAUAAAAUCUUAAAAAAAAAUAUAUAUA